rnacentral:rRNA from 1 species
UACGGAGGGUGCAAGCGUUAUCCGGAUUCACUGGGUUUAAAGGGUGCGUAGGCGGGUAGGUAAGUCAGUGGUGAAAAUCUUCGAGCUUAACUCGGAAACUGCCUUUUGAUACUAUCUAUCUUGAAUAUUGUGGAGGUAAGCGGAAUAAUGUCAUGUAGCGGUGAAAUGCUUAGAUAUGACAUAGAACACCUAUUGCGAAGGCAGCUUACUACGCAUAUAUUGACGCUGAGGCACGAAAGCGUGGGGAUCAAACAGG